rnacentral:rRNA from 1 species
UACGAAGGGGGCUAGCGUUGUUCGGAUUUACUGGGCGUAAAGGGUGCGUAGGCGGAUUUUUAAGUCAGGGGUGAAAUCCCAAGGCUCAACCUUGGAACUGCCUUUGAUACUGGGGAUCUUGAGUCCGGGAGAGGUGAGUGGAACUGCGAGUGUAGAGGUGAAAUUCGUAGGUAUUCGCAAGAACACCAGUGGCGAAGGCGGCUCACUGGCCCGAUACUGACGCUGAGGCACGAAAGCGUGGGGAGCAAACAGG